rnacentral:rRNA from 1 species
CCCUUUGGGGAAUUUUCCGCAAUGGGCGAAAGCCUGACGGAGCAAUACCGCGUGAGGGAGGAAGGCUCUUGGGUUGUAAACCUCUUUUCUCAAGGAAUAAUAAGUUGAAGGUACUUGAGGAAUCAGCAUCGGCUAACUCCGUGCCAGCAGCCGCGGUAAUACGGAGGAUGCAAGCGUUAUCCGGAAUGAUUGGGCGUAAAGGGUCCGCAGGUGGUUUUUCAAGUCGGCUGUUAAAGAAUCUGGCUCAACUAGAUAAAGGCAGUGGAAACUGAAAGACUAGAGUACAGUAGGGGUAGAGGGAAUUCCCAGUGUAGCGGUGAAAUGCGUAGAGAUUGGGAAGAACACCGGUGGCGAAAGCGCUUCUGCUGGACUGAAACUGACACUGAGGAUCGAAAUGGGU